GUUAAGCGACUAAGCGUACACGGUGGAUGCCCUGGCAGUCAGAGGCGAUGAAGGACGUGCUAAUCUGCGAUAAGCGUCGGUAAGGUGAUAUGAACCGUUAUAACCGGCGAUUUCCGAAUGGGGAAACCCAGUGUGUUUCGACACACUAUCAUUAACUGAAUCCAUAGGUUAAUGAGGCGAACCGGGGGAACUGAAACAUCUAAGUACCCCGAGGAAAAGAAAUCAACCGAGAUUCCCCCAGUAGCGGCGAGCGAACGGGGAGCAGCCCAGAGCCUGAAUCAGUGUGUGUGUUAGUGGAAGCGUCUGGAAAGGCGCGCGAUACAGGGUGACAGCCCCGUACACAAAAAUGCACAUGCUGUGAGCUCGAUGAGUAGGGCGGGACACGUGGUAUCCUGUCUGAAUAUGGGGGGACCAUCCUCCAAGGCUAAAUACUCCUGACUGACCGAUAGUGAACCAGUACCGUGAGGGAAAGGCGAAAAGAACCCCGGCGAGGGGAGUGAAAAAGAACCUGAAACCGUGUACGUACAAGCAGUGGGAGCACAGAGCAAUCUGUGUGACUGCGUACCUUUUGUAUAAUGGGUCAGCGACUUAUAUUCUGUAGCAAGGUUAACCGAAUAGGGGAGCCGAAGGGAAACCGAGUCUUAACUGGGCGUUAAGUUGCAGGGUAUAGACCCGAAACCCGGUGAUCUAGCCAUGGGCAGGUUGAAGGUUGGGUAACACUAACUGGAGGACCGAACCGACUAAUGUUGAAAAAUUAGCGGAUGACUUGUGGCUGGGGGUGAAAGGCCAAUCAAACCGGGAGAUAGCUGGUUCUCCCCGAAAGCUAUUUAGGUAGCGCCUCGUGAAUUCAUCUCCGGGGGUAGAGCACUGUUUCGGCAAGGGGGUCAUCCCGACUUACCAACCCGAUGCAAACUGCGAAUACCGGAGAAUGUUAUCACGGGAGACACACGGCGGGUGCUAACGUCCGUCGUGAAGAGGGAAACAACCCAGACCGCCAGCUAAGGUCCCAAAGUCAUGGUUAAGUGGGAAACGAUGUGGGAAGGCCCAGACAGCCAGGAUGUUGGCUUAGAAGCAGCCAUCAUUUAAAGAAAGCGUAAUAGCUCACUGGUCGAGUCGGCCUGCGCGGAAGAUGUAACGGGGCUAAACCAUGCACCGAAGCUGCGGCAGCGACGCUUAUGCGUUGUUGGGUAGGGGAGCGUUCUGUAAGCCUGCGAAGGUGUGCUGUGAGGCAUGCUGGAGGUAUCAGAAGUGCGAAUGCUGACAUAAGUAACGAUAAAGCGGGUGAAAAGCCCGCUCGCCGGAAGACCAAGGGUUCCUGUCCAACGUUAAUCGGGGCA
rnacentral:rRNA from 1 species